UCCCUGCAAGCUGAGGGAGUGGGCUCUGGCCUUGGCCAGCCCAGAAAGGGGCUCCCACAGUGCAGUGGUGGGCUGAAGGGCUCCUCAAGUGCUGCCAAAGUGGGAGCCCAGCCAGAGGAGGUGCUGAGAGCAAGCGAGGGCUCUGAGGACUGCCAGCAUGCUGUCACCUCUCAUUUUGUUUAAUGUUUUCUAUUUUAAUGUUUUGUAUUAUCAGGUGUCUAUCAAGUCAAGAUCACUUUACAUGCUACUGCAGUGUAUAAUCUUGUCACAAUGUAUUGGUUCAUAAUAAUAAAAACCACCAAAUAUUACAUAUAUGUGUGUGUAUCUAUACAUGUAGUUUUUUUUUUUUUAAUAGAAAACCUUUGAAACCUUCACUGUAAUCCUAUCAGGGAAAAAUGAUUCCCUGUCUCCCACGGAGCCUGGGGAGGCUUCAGCAAGAGCCAAAUGAGAGCAGGGCAGAGGCCGGGCCCAGCGCCAGCGAGGCAUCUGGGGAGCCGUGCCCUUGUUAGCGCUGAAAAUGGAAGCCCCUCCAUUCAGAAUUCCCAUACACAGGCAUACGUGAUGUUAUGAGGCCGGUGGAAGCCUCGCUCGGUGUUGCCCUGUAUGGUUGAGCUGUGGUUUAAGGUGAACCCUGGAGUGUGGGCUGCAGGUGAGGGCUCCUUCCCCGGGAGCUGGUGGGAGGAGCUGGAGGCUGGCGCCGCCCUGCUCAGAGCUGCCUGCUUGGGCUCGUCUGAGGUGGUUCCAAGCUGCAGGUGUC
rnacentral:lncRNA from 1 species